CCAGCUCCGAUGGCCGCCUCCAUGCAGCUCGGCCGCCUCAUCCUCCCCGCCGUCCUCCCCUCCCCCCUCCGCUGCUCCGCCCGUCCUGCCGCCAUCUCCGUCCGCUGCGGUGGCGACACCCCCGCCUCCACCGCCGCCGACUUCGACAAGAAAGUAUUCCGUCACAACCUCACCCGCAGUGACAAUUACAACCGCAAGGGGUUUGGACACAAGAAAGAAACCCUAGAGCUCAUGGAUCGGGAGUACACCAGUGAUGUGAUCAAGACGCUGAAGGAGAACGGGAACGAGUUCACGUGGGGGGAUGUGACGGUGAAGCUGGCGGAGUCGUACGGGUUCUGCUGGGGUGUGGAGCGGGCCGUGCAGAUUGCGUAUGAGGCGAGGAAGCAGUUCCCGGAGGAGAGGAUCUGGAUCACUAAUGAGAUUAUUCACAAUCCGACGGUCAACAAGAGGUUAGAAGAAAUGGAAGUUAAAAAUAUUCCAAUUGAGGAUGGGAGGAAACAAUUUGAUGUUGUUGACAAGGGUGAUGUCGUGGUUUUACCUGCAUUUGGAGCCGCUGUAGAUGAGAUGGUUGUUCUGAGUGAAAAGAAAGUACAAAUUGUUGAUACGACAUGUCCAUGGGUUUCAAAGGUUUGGAACACCGUUGAGAAGCACAAGAAGGGUGAAUAUACUUCUAUCAUCCAUGGUAAAUAUUCUCAUGAAGAGACUGUUGCUACUGCUUCAUUUGCUGGAAAGUAUAUCAUUGUAAAGAACAUGUCAGAGGCAAUGUAUGUUUGUGAUUACGUUCUUGGAGG
rnacentral:misc_RNA from 1 species